rnacentral:rRNA from 1 species
CAGCACCUCAAGUGGUCAGGAUGAUUAUUGGGCCUAAAGCAUCCGUAGCCGGCUUUGUUAGUUUUCGGUUAAAUCUGUACGCUUAACGUACAGGCUGCCGGGAAUACUGCAAAGCUAGGGAGUGGGAGAGGUAGACGGUACUCGGUAGGAAGGGGUAAAAUCCUUUGAUCUAUUGAUGACCACCUGUGGCGAAGGCGGUCUACCAGAACACGUCCGACGGUGAGGGAUGAAAGCUGGGGGAGCAAACCGGAUUAGAUACCCGAGUAGUCC